rnacentral:rRNA from 1 species
CAAGUCGAACGCGAAAGUCCCCUUCGGGGGGCAAGUAGAGUGGCGCACGGGUGAGUAACACGUAGGUAAUCUACCUUUGGAUUGGGAAUAACAACCGGAAACGGUUGCUAAUACCGAAUAAUGCAGCGGCACCUAAUGGUGACAGUUGUUAAAGCGGGGGAUCGCAAGACCUCGCGUCUGAAGAGGAGCCUGCGGCAGAUUAGCUAGUUGGUAAGGUAACGGCUUACCAAGGCUAUGAUCUGUAGCCGGCCUGAGAGGGCGGUCGGCCACACUGACACUGACAUACGGGUCAGACUCCUACGGGAGGCAGCAGUCGGGAAUUUUGGGCAAUGGGCGCAAGCCUGACCCAGCAACGCCGCGUGAAGGAUGAAAUCCUUCGGGAUGUAAACUUCGCAAGAACGGGAAGAAUAAGUAAGAGUUAAUAUCUCUUACGAUGACGGUACUGUUUGUAAGCUCCGGCUAACUCCGUGCCAGCAGCCGCGGUAAUACGGGGGGAGCAAGCGUUGUUCGGAUUUACUGGGCGUAAAGGGCGCGUAGGCGGCCACCGCAAGUCGACUGUGAAAUCUCCGGGCUUAACCCGGAAAGGUCAGCCGAUACUGCGGGGCUAGAGUGCAGAAGGGGCAACUGGAAUUCUCGGUGUAGCGGUGAAAUGCGUAGAUAUCGAGAGGAACACCUGCGGCGAAGGCGGGUUGCUGGGCUGACACUGACGCUGAGGCGCGAAAGCUAGGGGAGCGAACGGGAUUAGAUACCCCGGUAGUCCUAGCCUUAAACGAUGAAUGCUUGGUGUCUGGGGUUUUAUAGUUCCCGGGUGCCGUCGCUAACGCUUUAAGCAUUCCGCCUGGGGAGUACGGUC